GUGGUUGCUCCAGCAGCACAUAUACUAAAACUGAAAUGAUACAGAGAAGACUAGCACAGCCCCUUGCAAGGAAAAUAUGCAAAUCUAUAAACUGUUCCAUAUUUUA
rfam:Tupaia chinensis contig69584, whole genome shotgun sequence.